rnacentral:lncRNA from 1 species
UCGGGAGUGGAGCCAUGGGAGGGUAUCUCAAGGAUGAGUCCAGUGCAGGCUCAUCACAGGCUGCAGUGGCAAAUGGGGAACCAUAUGCCCAGCAGCAUAAAUGAGGCCGCGGUCUCCAGCUAUAGUAAUAAGGAUUAAGGAGUGCUUGUUGGGUUUUUUCAGGGGAAAAAAAGAAGUAAAUGAAUGCUUGCUGGUCUAACUAUGUGACACUAAUUAAGUUAGUGAACUCUUUUUAUAUGUUGAUUUGACCUGCAUUGACUUCUGCUUCAUUUACAUAUUUAAGGUGUAAUUUUAUGCUUUGACUAAAACUUUAUGAUCACAAUAUAUAUGCUGUUAAUCCUAAAAAUUUAUGAUCAAUAUAUAGUAUACAUAUAACACAAUUAUUUGCUAAACUACCUUAUACACAUAAUAAAUAAUAAGGUGCUCAGGAGUACAAAAAAAGAAAAGAAAAGAAAAAGAGCAUGUAAAUAAAUAUAGAAUAGAGAAAACAGAAAGUCAAAUAUAUAGUCCAAGUUCAAUCCGGCCUAGUUUUGAAGAAGUAAAAACAGAAAUUAUGACAUGAAAAUGCACAUUAAGGGAAAAAACUUUCAUUUUGGCUCUACUAAUUACUUCAUUCUUAACUCUUGGUAGUUCAUUCAUACAAUCACCAAAUCAUGUAAUCCACAUAUAAAAUUAUAUAGAUAAGAUUCCUCUUGCAGUUUUUGCCAACCAUGUGUUUCUAUCCUCAUAAAUCCGUUGAUCCUUUGUAGGAUAGACAUGCCAAUUGUUAAGUACUAUCAACUUGCUACAAUGUGGGUCAAUCCUUACACCAACCAAACAAUCAAUAAAAAACAAGCUUGUAUCAAGCAUCAUAAGGUAUUAUCUCUCUCUCAUCUCUUUCACUAAGCUAAGAUUCUUUGUUUUUUUUCAUAACCAAUAAUCCUUUACUAGCUUCAGCAUUUGAGAGUGAUUGGAGUGUCAAUUCCGAUAUUUUUUUAGUUUAUUUUUUAAUCUUGCAAAUCAAAUCUAGCCCCUUAAAUACCACAAUAAGCUCGAUCCAUGCCGGUUCAAAGAAGACUAACAUUUAGGCGUAUAUGUUAGAAUCAAAUUCAAGACCCCGUGUGUUAAGCAACUAUUUAUUCAGCUUACUAAAUGUAGUAAGCAAAGCAAGGAUGAUAGAUGACGUUGUUCUACCCUAAAUAAUGUAUCUAGUAGUAAUAAAGUAUAGUAUAGAAAUUGCUUCUGAUUCCAAUACCAUUGAGUUUGCGCAUCCGACAUGUCAUCUAUAUGGAUCGGCUGUUUCUUCAUUGAUAUCUCUGACAAAAUCCUAGGCAUAAGAGAGUAUCUUGAUCCCUGACUGCUAAUAAACUGUGCUGGAGCGCACCUAAGAAAGGAAUAAAAUAAAAUCCUACACCAACCUGGAAGAUUUGAACCGGCAAACAACAGAAAUUAAUGACUAAACAAACAAUUUACUGUUCCUAGAAGACUGCACAUGCAUGCUCAAUUUGACUUACUUUCACAGCAAAUCUGAAAGCCAUGUGUCAUACAACCAAAUUCAUUAAAAGAAGCGUUAACACUUUUUUUUUUUCUAAAAGGGGCAGAAAUUAAACAGCAUCAGAGUGCCUAAACGAAAAGGAAAACGUAAAAUACGAAAUGCAGAAGUUGAACCAAGGCGAAAGCUAGGCCAGGGUACAAUGCGACAGCGGAAGAAGAGUGUCCCCGAGCACGAUUGCCUUUUAUAAUAUGGCCUCCUCCUCUGCCUCUGGCGCCGCCACCUUUGCCACCUGCUUUUCCUAGCACCGUUGAUACCAUCAGAGCGAGAGCGAUGCCAAUGACCAUGAGUAUUAGAAUCAUGUUGGCAGACUUCUUAGCUGAUGGGAGCUUGGUCAUCUUCGUUAUCGUAGUUGAGACCUCCAACGCAGCGGCUCUUAAAAUAAAGGGGAAUGUUGCUUAGAAAGAAAGCUGAGUGCAAAAUCAUAUAAAGGAAGGGUAGGCUAUAGCUUUCUUCAUUAGAAAGGGAAAGCAGAAAGCUUUCCUUUAAUAAAUACACCUUAUCAUUUUUCUCAGUUUAUUUCAGAUUCUAGUGAUGUGAGGGAGAAGAAAGAGAAAAAGGUUGCAGUUGCC